rfam:Otolemur garnettii contig175418, whole genome shotgun sequence.
GUCAGGAUGGCCGAGUGGUCUAAGGCGCCAGACUCAAGUUCUACUUCCUCAGGUUGAGGAUUCUGGUCUCCAAAUGGAGGCGUGGGUUCGAAUCCCACUUCUGACA